GCUCUUAGUUCAAACAAGCUAAGUGAUAUACAAAGUGUGGGCCGAGUCUCGGAAGCACCCCCUGGAACUACCAGAGGAAUAUUCAGUUUAAAUUCUCUCUCCUCUAUCUUGGCAGCAAAUUCGGCGACAUUUAAGACAGCUGUACCAACAAUAGGUGCCUUAUUCUUCGCAUUCAUACCAUUCAACACAGUGAAGGCAAUCUCCCA
rnacentral:misc_RNA from 1 species